rnacentral:rRNA from 1 species
UACGGAAGGCAGCAGUGGGGAAUAUUGCACAAUGGGCGAAAGCCUGAUGCAGCUAUGCCGCGUGUAUGAAGAAGGCCUUAGGGUUGUAAAGUACUUUCAUCGGGGAGGAAAAAACAAAACUAAUAAUUUUAUUUCUUGACGUUACCCGAAAAAGAAGCACCGGCUAACUCUGUGCCAGCAGCCGCGGUAAUACGGAGGGUGCUAGCGUUAAUCAGAAUUACUGGGCGUAAAGAGCACGUAGGUGGUUUUUUUAAGUCAGAUGUGAAAUCCCUGGGCUUAACCUAGGAACUGCAUUUUGAAACUGAAAUACUAGAGUAUCGUAGAGGGAGGUAGAAUUCUAGGUGUAGCGGUGAAAUGCGUAGAUAUCUGGAGGAAUACCUGUGGCGAAAGCGGGCCUCCUAAACGAAUACUGACACUGAGGUGCGAAAGCGUGGGGAGCAAACAGGGAUUAGAUACC